GUACUCACUUUUUCGGUACAUAUUCUAAAAUUUGGACGAUACAGAAGAUCAGCAUGGCCCCUGCUCAAGGAUAACACGCGAAAUUGUGAAGCAUUCCAUAUUUUA
rfam:Schistosoma curassoni strain Dakar, Senegal genome assembly, scaffold: SCTD_scaffold0007060